rnacentral:lncRNA from 1 species
CGGAGGCCGGGCGGUGUGAGCAGGCCGUGGGCAGGAGCCGUGUCCCGGAGGCCGGGCGGUGUGAGCAGGCCGUGGGCAGGAGCCGUGUCCCGGAGCUGCGGGCUGCAGGUGGCAGCAGCGCCCUUCCCUUCCCUGCGGCAGCCGGGGAUGCUGCGGCACAGCCCGGCCACAGCGCCAGGAGCACAUCGGCACCUCGCAGCCACACUCUGCGCCUCCCCCGCCUCCUCCCCGACAGGAAUCCGGAUCCUUGGAGAGAGGGGAGGGGAAGAAAAGCCUUUCUGCAUCGCGCAGUGCCAGACAGAGCCCGCAGGGACAGCCUUGCAUGGGAAGCAUGGACUCUGUGACUGCAUCCUGUUCCUCCAAAGGCAUUGGAAUGUGGGCAGAGAACAGUCAUUUGCUUGUGCAUUAUGCAAGGAAAGUGCUGACCCAGUAGCAAAAAGAAAGAAAAAUCCCUGUCAGGAGCCAACAGGUUUUACCGGAAAAC